GACGAACGCUGGCGGCGUGGAUUAGGCAUGCAAGUCGAACGGUAUCAUCCUUUCGGGGGUGAGAGAGUGGCGAACUGGUGAGUAACACGUAGGUUAUCUACCCUCAAGACGGGGACAACCCAGGGAAACUUGGGCUAAUACCGGAUGUGAGCAACUUUUAGUUGUUUGAAAGGUGGCGUAAGCUGUCGCUUGGGGAUGAGCCUGCGUCCUAUUAGUUAGUUGGUGAGGUAACGGCUCACCUAGGCAAUGAUAGGUAGGCGGCCUUAACGGGUGGUCGCCCACACUGGGAUUGAGAUACGGCCCAGACUCCUACGGGAGGCAGCAGUCGAGAAUAGUCUACAAUGGUCGGAAGACUGAUAGUGCGACGCCGCGUGAACGAUGAAUCCCUUCGGGGUGUAAAGUUCUUUUAAUGUGAGCAGUGCUUCUUAUAUUAACGUAUGGGGAAGAGAUAUAGCAUAUGAAUAAGCAACGGCUAACUCCGUGCCAGCAGCCGGGUAAU
rnacentral:rRNA from 1 species